UUCUCCAAACUGUUCCACUUUGCAUUAUAAAGUGUUUAAUAUGGAAGUUCAACCUAUUCUAUUCCAGGCUCAACAUACUCCAGAACCUGAAGAAAACUAGUCUCAGGGAGAACGUUAGAACAACAUUUGCAGCUUAACAUUUCAGCGCAGAUCCUUGAAGGUAUCUUCAGACCUACACCUUGCCAGAAGAGUUUCACUGAGGGCUGAGAUGAGGAUCCAAGCUGGUGGAUUUCAUGUUGGGAUUUAGACACCUAAACACGUAGGUGGCUUAUUUUCUUCGUGAUAAGUGAUUUGCUUGUGGCAACACAAGAUGCUUGUGAUCUAACAGGCACUGUCUCAAGCUCCAUCACAGGCUAAGCUGUAUUCACUCUACUGGAUUUGCCAUCAUGAGACAGUAGCAAGUCACCAAAAUGUUGACUCAAUAGGCUAAAUAUGAAAGGAAUCAGUGGUCUGUCUCCAAAGGCUAAAGGAAGGUAAGAAAAUAAUAAAAGUCACCAAAACAAAUGCAAUUAAGUGGUCACUUGGCUCGACCCCUCAGCACCCUCUCAGUAUGAAAGAGCUGGAGAGAGGUAGGGGCAACUGUGGCUGGGAGAGUGCAAGAGAAGAACAGCUGAAGCCCAAGAAAAAGUAGUGUCGGCACAUUCAAAGGUGUAGAAGCAAAGAAAGGAGUUCAGUAAGUACCAAGCCUGCAGUGAAAUAAGGAAGAAUGGAUUAUUUAACCUCUGGAAGUUGAAAGCUUGACCAUAGAAUAGCAUUUUUCUACAGACAACUAAAUAUUAAGGUAUUAGUUAAACAGGAAUGUACAGUCACAGACAGAAACAUGUAUUGUCUGAAAGAGUUAUUCAGAAGAAAGAAUGAAAUACCCAAAGAGCUGAAUAUUACAGAAAAUCUGGAACUGCCAGUGAAAAACUAGGAUAAAGUUUUAUUUCUAAAAUGGAAGGCACCAUCUUCCAAAUGGAACCUAAACCCCUUGCAGUUUCAGUAUGCAUCACACAUUACUCACAUUACUGAUCCACAGGUGGAGAGGACAUGAGGUGAGCCUGGUAAAGUCUGAAGGAGAGCCAUCAUGGAACUUGAAGCAGUGAAAAAAAAAAAGAAAAAAAAAAAAGAUAAAAUACAUCCUCAAUUAAAUUAUAACUCAGUAUGCACAAAGUCAAAUGACUUCUGGCUCAGUUUCUCAGAGAAAAUUAGAUAGUUCUGCUCCAAGUGGAAGAAAAAUGUAUCCUUUUGCAAGUGUAUUUCUCUGUGUUAUGCUUUUAACUACCAGCUUUUAAAUCAUGUCUGAAGAGGCCUGGGAAAGCACAUUAGCACCUCUCCACAAGCGCUGUGUUUGAACAUGAUUGGCUUGGGGAGAGGGGAAUGAAAGAUUUCCAGACUCAGUGCAGACAAAGCCCAAAGGCUGUUGGCGUAAGUACAAAGCCAGAGUAGUGCUUCAAGAAAACAGAAAGAAAAUGCCUUUAAAGCAGAAUUCACCAAAAUGACAUGAAACAGCAAACAGGAGACGGGGCCUUUGAGAGCAGUUUUUCACAAUUAGGUCACUGCUCUUUUGUGAAUGUUGAAGGUGUUCCACAACAGGAGUCAGAAGCCUGCUGAAAGCCUGUUCCAAAAACCCUUCUGGAGCCCCUGGCUCAGUUCUCACCAUUGCAAUUAUCAGACUGCCAGGGCAACUGAUACAGCAAAUUGACUGUUCACUUCCAAAGCUGCUUGCUGUUGGUCUUACAGAGUUAAUGCAAGUGCUCUGGGAAGCAGCAGCCGCCAGCAGUGUGCCUGGAGCAGCUCACAACAUCCGCUGAGGGAGUGAGAGACUUACCAGCCAUUUCUGUGUGUGUGGAAGGACACAGGGCAGUGCAAAGUUAUCAGCCGCAUUUAAAACGUCCCUCUUUUUGUGACCGUCACUCUCCUUUCCCUGACGCCAGGUUAGCAGAGCGCUUUCCCGUGCCCUGUGUUUUAAAGAACAAGCAGAGGUCCUGCGUGUGUUUCUGGCUUGGUGUUUGCAGCCCCUGGCAACCAGCUCUGUCAGACAGAGACAUCCAAGUGAGCAUUAGCCUGUAGUUGCACCCUGCGCCCAGGAGAGGAUUUCACAUUUGAAAGGAGCUCACCGCAGUGGAGCCAGGUCAGGAGGAAGAGCACAGGAUAUGCAACUGCAGCCUAUCAGGGCAGCUUUUCAGGGAGAUGGACAAGGUGUGGUGGGAAGUCAGAAGGGGAGUCCAAGUCAGAAUGGGAAGUGAGAGCACUAUGUUCCAUCUUCCCCUUCUGCUGCAGCUGUGGGACAAAAAGAGACACUGCUGCUGCUUUACAGGCCACUUCCUCCCACUGAUGUCAGGAGCACAAUAUGUAUGUGGAGAGACCCCCGUGCCAAUAUAAUGGAGAACCAACUCCAGUUUGAAGACAGCCAGCACUGCAAAGUAAUGCUUGGAAUCCUGACUGGAUUUGCCAGCAUCACUCACAGACACUGAGAACACUCUUUGAGAUGUAUUCUUUGGCUUCUUAAAUUGUUAAGAUGAAAUUUAGCUGAUAACAUGCUGACUGUGCUAACCACAGAGGCUGGAAGUAAGAUUUGGUAUAUGGUGGCUUUAAAAAUUAAAUAUCCAUAGAUUAUCUUAAUUUGUGUGUUAAUACAUAUGUUAUGGGCUACACUAAGUUAUACUGAAAGAUAAGACAGUUUUGUCAAAGCCUUCAACUCUGAUUUUUACUAACUCUUCUCUUACUUUGUCCUUGUUUUCAAUAAAUAAUUGAGAUUAAAUUGCAAGUAACUAAACCAAACAUCCUUCUAGGAUGUUUCUUCACUGCUUUGCUCACAAGAAUAUUAACUAAGACUAUCUCUGCUUCAUUGUAAAAUAUUGAAAAUAAGACAAAACACAUUGCUGACUCCAUAUGGAUACUGGUAAUACUGUCAUCUCCACUGAAGUACAAAAACCAGACUUCAAAUUCCUUUAACAUGUUGUAUUCUAUGGGACAAAAUGCACAGCCCGCUUUCCACACAGGUAUAUUCUUUCAUGAAAUGCACUAGCUCACUCCUGCCAAAAACGGUCAGUUCUUCAUCCUCCUCACAUUGCCAUGUGAUUUAACUGGAUAAUCCCCCAGUUUAUUGGCUCUGCUGCCUGCCUCAGAGUCUGGUAAGCCACUUGUCCACCGUCUCUGUAGUCAGCUUCCAAUGAGUACUUCCUGCACAACAGUUGGGGAAUUGGAGCUGUUGUCAGGCUGUGGGUUACACCAUGGUACAGGGGACUGAGAUUGCUCCAUCUAGCAAUGGGCUGCAAGAUUUGUUCUCUGAAUCAUACAACAUCUUCCCGCAAUGUUACAUUUCUCGACUACUUAAUUCUUUAUCCAAAUGGUAAGACAUGUUAUCUUGGCACUCCUCACUCUUCCUUCCCCAAAUUCCUAGCUCUGACAACUUAAAUUUCUCUUUAUUUAUUUGUUGAAAUUGUACACAAUAAAUAUUUUUUUCAUGCA